rnacentral:rRNA from 1 species
GACGAACGCUGGCGGCGUGCUUAACACAUGCAAGUCGAACGAUGAAGCGCUUGCCUUUUUGGUGGGUGUGGAUGAGUGGCGAACGGGUGAGUAACACGUUAGUAACCUGCCCUCUUCUUCUGGAUAACCUCAUGACAGUGCGGCUAAUACGGGGUAUUCCGGGUCUGUCGCAUGGCGGGUUUGGGAAAGCUUGCGCCUUUGGGAGUUUUCGGCGGGGGCUGGGCUCGCGGCCUAUCAGCUUGUUGGUGGGGUGAUGGCCUACCAAGGCGGUGACAGGUAGCCGGCCUGAGAGAGUGGACGGCCAGACUGGGACAGAGACACGGGCCAGACACCGGAGGGAGGAAGCGGGAGGGAACAGUGCAGGACGGGCGCAAGCCGGAGGCAGCGAGGCCGCGUGAGGGUGGGAGGCCGUCGGGUAGUGAACCUCUUUCGCGAGGGAAGAAGGCCUGCUCCUGUGUGGGUGGGUUGACGGUAGCUGGAGAAGAAGCGCCGGCUAACUACGUG